rnacentral:rRNA from 1 species
GCACAAGCGGUGGAGCAUGUGGUUUAAUUCGACGCAACGCGCAGAACCUUACCAGGGUUUGACAUCCUGCGACCGCUUCCUAAUAGGAGUUUUCCCGCAAGGGACGCAGAGACAGGUGCUGCAUGGCUGUCGUCAGCUCGUGUCGUGAGAUGUUGGGUUAAGUCCCGCAACGAGCGCAACCCUCGCCUUUAGUUGCCAUCAUUCAGUUGGGCACUCUAGAGGGACCGCCGGCGACAAGCCGGAGGAAGGUGGGGAUGACGUCAAGUCCUCAUGGCCCUUACACCCUGGGCUACACACGUGCUACAAUGGCGGUGACAGUGGGCAGCUACUCAGCGAUGAGCGGCUAAUCCCAAAAAACCGCCCCAGUUCAGAUUGCACUCUGCAACUCGAGUGCAUGAAGGUGGAAUCGCUAGUAAUCGCAGAACAGCAGGCUGCGGUGAAUACGUUCCCGGGC